rnacentral:rRNA from 1 species
AGUGACGAUAGCCUAGGAGAUACACCUGUACCCAUGCCGAACACAGUAGUUAAGCCCUAGAACGCCUGAAGUAGUUGGGGGUUGCCCCCUGUUAGAUACGGUAGUCGCUUAGCA